rnacentral:rRNA from 1 species
AACGCGAAGAACCUUACCUACCCUUGACAUGUACGGAACCCUGCUGAGAGGUGGGGGUGCCCGAAAGGGAGCCGUAACACAGGUGCUGCACGGCUGUCGUCAGCUCGUGUCGUGAGAUGUUGGGUUAAGUCCCGCAACGAGCGCAACCCUUGUCCCUAGUUGCUACGCAAGAGCACUCCAGGGAGACUGCCGGUGACAAACCGGAGGAAGGUGGGGAUGACGUCAAGUCCUCAUGGCCCUUAUGGGUAGGGCUUCACACGUCAUACAAUGGUCGGAACAGAGGGUUGCGAAGCCGCGAGGUGGAGCCAAUCCCAGAAAACCGAUCGUAGUCCGGAUCGCAGUCUGCAACUCGACUGCGUGAAGCUGGAAUCGCUAGUAAUCGCGGAUCAGCAUGCCGCGGUGAAUACGUUCCCGGGUCUUGUACACACGC